UGGGGAAUUUUCCACAAUGGGCGAAAGUCUGACCCAGCAACGCCGCGUGAAGGAUGAAGUAUUUCGGUAUGUAAACUUCGAAAGAAUAGGAAGAAUAAAUGACGGUACUAUUUAUAAGGUCCGGCUAACUACGUGCCAGCAGCCGCGGUAAUACGUAGGGACCAAGCGUUGUUCGGAUUUACUGGGCGUAAAGGGCGCGUAGGCGGCAAUUCAAGUCAUCUGUGAAAUCUCCGGGCUUAACUCGGAACGGUCAGAUGAUACUGCUUUGCUAGAGUGCAGAAGGGGCAAUCGGAAUUCUUGGUGUAGCGGUGAAAUGCGUAGAUAUCAAGAGGAACACCUGAGGUGAAGACGGGUUGCUGGGCUGACACUGACGCUGAGGCGCGAAAGCCAGGGGAGCAAACGGGAUUAGAUACCCGCGUAGUCCCUGAGCGGGCUGGCAAGGCGCAU
rnacentral:rRNA from 1 species